rnacentral:rRNA from 1 species
GAUGAACGCUGGCGGCGUGCCUAAUACAUGCAAGUCGAGCGAAUGGAUUAAGAGCUUGCUCUUGUGAAGUUAGCGGCGGACGGGUGAGUAACACGUGGGUAACCUGCCCAUAAGACUGGGAUAACUCCGGGAAACCGGGGCUAAUACCGGAUAACAUUUUGAACCGCGGGGUUCGAAAUUGAAAGGCGGAUUCGGCUGUCACUUAUGGAUGGACCCGCGUCGCAUUAGCUAGUUGGUGAGGUAACGGCUCACCAAGGCAACGAUGCGUAGCCGACCUGAGAGGGUGAUCGGCCACACUGGGACUGAGACACGGCCCAGACUCCUACGGGAGGCAGCAGUAGGGAAUCUUCCGCAAUGGACGAAAGUCUGACGGAGCAACGCCGCGUGAGUGAUGAAGGCUUUCGGGUCGUAAAACUCUGUUGUUAGGGAAGAACAAGUGCUAGUUGAAUAAGCUGGCACCUUGACGGUACCUAACCAGAAAGCCACGGCUAACUACGUGCCAGCAGCCGCGGUAA